GUUGUUGGGUAGGGGAGCGUUCUGUAAGCCUGCGAAGGUGUGCUGUGAGGCAUGCUGGAGGUAUCAGAAGUGCGAAUGCUGACAUAAGUAACGAUAAAGCGGGUGAAAAGCCCGCUCGCCGGAAGACCAAGGGUUCCUGUCCAACGUUAAUCGGGGCAGGGUGAGUCGACCCCUAAGGCGAGGCCGAAAGGCGUAGUCGAUGGGAAACAGGUUAAUAUUCCUGUACUUGGUGUUACUGCGAAGGGGGACGGAGAAGGCUAUGUUAGCCGGGCGACGGUUGUCCCGGUUUAAGCAUGUAGGCUGGUUGUCCAGGCAAAUCCGGAUAAUCAAGGCUGAGGUGUGAUGACGAGGCACUACGGUGCUGAAGUAACAAAUGCCCUGCUUCCAGGAAAAGCCUCUAAGCAUCAGGUAACAUCAAAUCGUACCCCAAACCGACACAGGUGGUCAGGUAGAGAAUACCAAGGCGCUUGAGAGAACUCGGGUGAAGGAACUAGGCAAAAUGGUGCCGUAACUUC
rnacentral:rRNA from 1 species